UACGGGGGGGGCAAGCGUUGUUCGGAAUUACUGGGCGUAAAGGGCUUGUAGGUGGCUUGCUAAGUCAGACGUGAAAUCCCUCAGCUUAACUGGGGAACUGCGUCUGAGACUGGCAAGCUGGAGUGCAGGAGAGGAACGCGGAAUUCCAGGUGUAGCGGUGAAAUGCGCAGAUAUCAGGAAGAACACCCGUGGCGAAGGCGGCUCUCUGGGACGGUACUGACGCUGAGACGCGAAAGCGUGGGGAGCGAACAGG
rnacentral:rRNA from 1 species